UCCGGUUGAUCCUGCCGCCSAGGUCACUGCUAUCGGUGUUCGACUAAGCCAUGCGAGUCAAAUGUUCUUCGUGAACAUGGCGUACUGCUCAGUAACACGUGGAUAACCUGCCCUUAGGACUGGCAUAACCCCGGGAAACUGGGGAUAAUUCCGGAUAGUUCAUGGUAGUUGGAAUGCUCCAUGAUCGAAAGCUAUUGCGCUUAAGGAUGGGUCUGCGGUCUAUCAGGUAGUAGUGGGUGUAAUGUACCUACUAGCCGACGACGGAUACGGGUUGUGGGAGCAAGAGCCCGGAGAUGGAUUCUGAGACAUGAAUCCAGGCCCUACGGGGCGCAGCAGGCGCGAAAACUUUACAAUGCGGGAAACCGCGAUAAGGGGACACCGAGUGCCAGCAUCUUAUGUUGGCUGUCCGCAUGUAUAAAUCACAUGUGUUAGCAAG
rnacentral:rRNA from 1 species